GCAUUGCAGUUGGUCACCUUUGUUUUGGCAUUAUCCAUAACAACAUUCACUCUUUCCAUUUGCCUCAGGGUCAACCUAAUUGCCCUAUGUGCCACCCCUAUCCCCCCGCUUUGGGCCCCUGUGCAGAGGACACUCCUCACUCCCUUCCAGGAUUUUUGCACCUUUCCUUUCUCCGAACCAAGCGCUUGUGCUAGGACAGAGGUAGCUCCAAGGUGAGGGAACUACGUCAAGAGCUCAGCAACAUUAAACAGUCUUAUCUAAAGACAAAAGUGCCCUGCUCUAUGAAAAAUCCCUGCUGCGAAUAAAACACAGGCACAGACCUGCUUCAAGUUACUGUGGAUAAUAUGAUUUCUUCAUGUUUUCUGGCGAUAAUGGGCCAUCAGCUUUGAGCAGCAGGAAGCGAGGGAGAUAAAAGGCCGGUUCUACUUCACUGAGUUCUGACAAAUAAUGUUUUGGAUAACAAGAAGUGUGCUGUGCCUCGCAUUGUAUUCACUUCCACCGCUGACGGCAUGCAAGGAUGGGCUUUUCUUUAUUUUUGUUCUUUUCAGAAAAGUGCCAUGAAUAAUCUUCAGUAAAAUGCCUAAACUUAGUUUAACUGUCAAAUUUUAUCUUGCAUUUUAGACCGUCCUUAAUUUUGUAUAUUAAAGGGUAUAAUUAUUAAACAAAAAAUGUUUUUUCAAAAAAUGUAACUAGCUUACUAUUACUUCUAUUUUCAUUUGGCCAUU